UUUGCCACGGGAAAUUCUUGUCAUUACUAGCUCCGUCAGAGGCAGCAUUCCCUCUCACACUUUGUAAUCCUUUUUCUGACUGACAGAGAAGAAAUAAAGGAGUUUUAUUAGAUAAAUAUUUCAACAUAAAUGCCUAGGUAUGGCUGCAGUACACUACGUAGUGACGAUGAUGGUCCUGGUAUGUGACGCCAUGGUGAGCACACCUGAGCCACCGUGGCAGGCAAGGGGGCUUGUCCUGGUGAGGAAACAGACUUGGAGAGAUUAAGUAGCUUGCUCAUGGUCACCCUGCUGGUAAAUUGCAGGGUCAGGACUGAAACCCAGGUCUCCGAGGCCGGAGCCUGUCAUCCUGAAUGGAUUCAUCCCUGCUCUCCCAGGCAGCAUCUGCCAGCUUCAUUCUCUGUGUGCCGAGUCCAGGCGGGGAAGGCAGAGCCCUGCCUGUGGGAGGGGCUUCGCCUCGGCCUCACCUGCCGGCGUGGAGGUUCGUGUCAGCAGCGCGAUGCCUGCACUUCAGGACCCGUCACACGGUCUCGGAGCGUACGUUCAGAGGCUGGCCGAGGAGUGCUAUCCCGUCCAGGCUCCUGACACCCAGGAGACAUUUUGGUACUUUGUGGUCAGAGACUGAAAAUGACUUUUUAGUCCUGGAUUGAGCCAGAUCAUCAGAGAGCUGCAGCCUGGACUUCCUCACCUGGGACUCCUGCUGGAAUGGCUUUGGCGCUUAUGGUUUGGAGUUUAGAAUCCAGUGGCACUGUCCUCCUUGGAGGGACAGUGUGCAGAGUAGCCCUGUGAACCCAUGUGUGUGUCCUUCCCGCCUGUUUCUCUGCUCGGCACGCGGCAGGCUACUCCCUGAGGUGGGGGGUGACUUCUCAGAGCGGCCGUCCUUCACCUGUCACAUGUCCUGCUUGGUGUCUGGGGUAGUAUCUUUGGAGUCUACCACAGUCCAGUCACCUGCUCUGAGAGAACAGGAUUUUAGUGAUUGACCUGUUACCGUGGAAAUAAAGAUGGGUAUAACCCUUUCACCCCAAGAACGUUCUAGUGUCAUUUCUUUGGUCACACUGAAUCCAUAAUGAACUUGCCGGGGGCUGAAACUCAUUGGCAAGACAAUUGGUGAAGUCACCAGGGUUCACUGGUGACCAAGGGAAAAGAACAGGCUGCCCUCCUGGGAGGGGUGUUUCAGCAGCUGCACCUGUGGACGGGGAGGCAUCCCCUGUGGACAUGUGGUACUGGGAAGGGAUGGAGGGCUGGGGUCCACCCCAAGAGGAAGCUGACUGAAAGGACGUCACUACGAAGUGCUGCGGCCCGAGAGGAAGCAGCGAGAGAAGGAGCAGCAGCCUGUGAAGGGGCGGCACGAGAAGCAGCAGUAUGGGCGUGCAGGCUGCCAGGUGCCAUGGGGCGAGAGAAGGAUGUAGUGGAGCCGUCAGCCCUGGAAAUGGAGGAGCAGGGGUUUGACGAACAGGUGGGGGUGGAGGCCCUGCCAGUGCCGGAGGCAUCGGCCCCUCCUUGGUGGAGACCCCACCUGGCUGAAAACUGGUGGAGAGCCCGAAGCACUCGGCAGCCGCGGGUCCUUUCAGGAGAGGUGCAGCCCCUUCCCCAGGUUGUGGAGCGCUCCACGCUCCUAUCCUCAGGCUCAAGCACAGAAGGAAAUACGGUCUGCUUCUCGAAGGAAGAAUUUAAAGGGCCCCGUGAAGGUCGCAUGGACCCAGGUGUGGGUUGGUUUGAAAAGGCAGGAGCAGACAGAAACUGGACUGGAGCUGUGGCAGUGACUGGGACUGGAGCAGCGGUUCCGGCCGCCGAGGACGAAGCAGAGGCAGAGACAAAGCCACAAGAUGGGCCUGUGUGUCUGCAGGACUUCCUGCUGGAGAGGCUGGAGAAGGUGGGUACAGUAAGGCCCACCCAUGGUCCUCUUGGUUAACUCCUUUGAGUAGAACUGGUUGGAAUGCAGCCAGGAUGACCACUUGGUGGCAAUGGAUCUCCUCAGGCCUGAGGAUUAUUAUAAUUUGUUGUAAUUUUUGUUAUUUGUGUUUUGUUGUAGCCUCUGUUAUUACGGAAUUUGGUUACAAUGCUCCAGCUUUCUCACACAGGGACCAUUGCAGAGGAUUGAGGACACAUAGAUUGAGAGGAGAGAAUCCUGGAGGAGUGGAGUGUGGAUAAAGUAAAGGUUCCUGUGGCCAGGAUUCUUCCCCGGCCCUGGCUGGCUAGCCCACCACACACGUGUGGGCACUACGUCAUUACUGUCUCUAUAUAGAGAGCCCUGCACAGUGCUCUGGGCGACAUGGUGGCAGGGCUGCAAGGCUGCAGGAGAGCCAAGCAGAGGCUGGAGUGGUGGCAGCGCCGAGGACAAGAGGCCUAGAGGGCGGCUGUGUGGGCAGAGGGGCCCA